UACAGGUGUGGUCUGGUGACAGGUACCUGUAUCUAUACUGUACAGGUGUGGUCUGGUGACAGGUACCUGUAUCUAUACUGUACAGGUGUGGUCUGGUGACAGGUACCUGUAUCUAUACUGUACAGGUGUGGUCUGGUGACAGGUACCUGUAUCUAUACUGUACAGGUGUGGUCUGGUGACAGGUACCUGUAUCUAUACUGUACAGGUGUGGUCUGGUGACAGGUACCUGUAUCUAUACUGUACAGGUGUGGUCUGGUGACAGGUACCUGUAUCUAUACUGUACAGGUGUGGUCUGGUGACAGGUACCUGUAUCUAUACUGUACAGGUGUGGUCUGGUGACAGGUACCUGUAUCUAUACUGUACAGGUGUGGUCUGGUGACAGGUACCUGUAUCUAUACUGUACAGGUGUGGUCUGGUGACAGGUACCUGUAUCUAUACUGUACAGGUGUGGUCUGGUGACAGGUACCUGUAUCUGUACUGUACAGGUGUGGUCUGGUGACAGGUACCUGUAUCUAUACUGUACAGGUGUGGUCUGGUGACAGAUACCUGUAUCUAUACUGUACAGGUGUGGUCUGGUGACAGGUACCUGUAUCUAUACUGUACAGGUGUGGUCUGGUGACAGGUACCUGUAUCUAUACUGUACAGGUGUGGUCUGGUGACAGGUACCUGUAUCUAUACUGUACAGGUGUGGU